AUACGAGGGGUGCAAGCGUUAAUCGGAAUUACUGGGCGUAAAGCGUACGUAGGCGGUUCGUUAAGUUAGAUGUGAAAGCCCCGGGCUUAACCUGGGAACUGCAUUUAAAACUGGCGAACUAGAGUUGAGUAGAGGGGAGUGGAAUUUCAGGUGUAGCGGUGAAAUGCGUAGAGAUCUGAAGGAACACCAGUGGCGAAGGCGACUCCCUGGACUCGAACUGACGCUGAGGUACGAAAGCGUGGGUAGCAAACGGGAUUAGAAACCCUAGUAGUCC
rnacentral:rRNA from 1 species